UGCAAAUCAACGAUUGAGAUCAAAUGUUCUGCCCAAGCAGACGUCUGCUCCAUCCCCAGAUCCCCGCUCGCCCCUACUGCAACACACAGGCCGAUUCCGCGCCGCUGGUUCUCCACCUCCCCUCCCUCUCCUCACUACAGGACGCCGCCGGGCGAAGCUCGGCUCGCGUCGGCGGCGCCGGGGUCACUCUCCUGCCUCGAGCAGCGUCGGCGGCGCGGGAUGCAGCGGGCUCGGCCUGUGUCACCGACGCGAGUGUCCCUCUCGAGCGGCGGCGGUGGCGGAUUCAGCGGACGCGGGCCGUGGCGGCGGCGGCGGCGGUGGACGCAGCGGGCUCGGCCUGCGUCGGCGGCGGCGGGUCCAUCUCCUUCCUCGAAUAGCAGCGGGCUCGCGCCCCACGAUUUAUUCGACUCCGGCGAUUUGUCAACUUCUGCUUUAGCGGCGCCGCAACGGAGCACUCUGUCGGGCCCCUUGGCGGGAUCGGCGUCCGGAUCAUCUCGCGCCUCCGCAAGGGGGAUGGGACUGCUCGGGCUCAUCUGCAAGAGCCCCUCGCCGCCAUGCCGCCUGCUGCCGCUGACACCGUCAACGGGAGCGGACGAGCAGGAGAGAUCCUGUCGAUCUGAUGGCGAAAGGGCGAGAUAACCGGCUCCUGUAUGUUUUGGAAGGUCUACCUCGAGAUAAAUUUGGACACCGGCAAGCCCCUCUCAGUAAAGCAAGUCGUGGGAUUUGGGGAUUUGCACGUUUUGGUUUUCUGGUUUGUACGUAUUGUCUAAAGACUUGGAGUCAUUCGUUGCAGGUUACACCAAGUCUCUCCUUUGUUUGAUUUUGGUUCCAGCUUUGAUCGGGAGCACCAACCGCGAGCUGGGAGAAAGCCCAAGUGAGUAGCACUUCCACAGCAGAUUGGUUACCAAUUUAAUUGUUCUGAUUUUUCUUCAUGUGAGGUGAUUUCUGGCUUUUGUUUCUACUAUCACGCGCAUAUAAGAGAACUCGAGGAAGAAGUGAAGCUCCUCAUUUUCUGUGAAGAAGUACCUUGAGACUGUCCGUGAGGAAGACACGCUGAAUAUCUUGCUUGAUUUUGUUCCCCGCCCACUGCACGCCGCUGUCGAGAACACCUCUGCUACCUCCUCCCAAUCUCCGCCACAAGAUUCUCCGUCCAGAUCCUGGGCGAGGAAUAAAAAAAUUAGUUCUUGAAGCUUCUCCAUCAUGCCGGACGGACAACUGUAUCCGGCACCGUCGCCAUCGCUUAUGGAGUUCCACACCAUUGCCCAGUUGUACGAGAGCAUGUUCAAUCUUCUCCAUUCAAGACUAUGCAAGUGGUCAACUCUGCCAAACAAGAAGAUAUGAGGAUAUGGCAUAUAUGCCCCAUAAGGUAGCUAUAUGGUAAUUCAUGUAUUGUAGUUUGGAUUACGGUCACACUUUGAAGGGUAAGUAGAUGAUGCUCAAUGACAUAACCUGCACUGAUCUUCACAGUCAUAUCAUCUGAUAGAAGUUUAUUGAAUUUCAUUUAAAUUUUGUUGUAUGUUAUCCAUGAUGUAAGUGGAGAUAGGAAGUUAAACAAAAUUAAAAAUUGCAGCACAAAGGGGAUGUCCACCAAUGAUUUGACAUGAUAAGAUGUUAGUGAAGCAUGGCAAACUAUGACAUUAGCAAAACUUAUAUUUACAUAUAUUCAUAUAUAUGAAUUUUGGAAAUGUGCAUUGCACGUAUAUCGUACUUCUCUUCACUAUUCAAAAUACUUGUACCCACUAUGAUUUCAUUUUUUAUUAUUUACCUUGAAGGAGUAUUAUAUUAAUGUUAUUUGUUGUCCACCUUGAUCCUUCACUGCUAUUUUUCCUACUAAGCAACUUUGCAUGGAGUUAAGAUCAUUUCGUAAGAUUCUGAUAUGUUUUUCAAAUUCGCUUCCUUUAUGCAUGAACCUAUCAUCAAGAUUUAGACCUCUUAUAUGGUGCAUGUAUGCUGUUGUAAGAAGAAAUGUAAUAUUGUCCUCAUCAAUUUCUUUCUUAGCAUGCACAAUGUGUUACAACAUCAAUUUCAUUGGUUUGGAGAAGGUGAUAAACAUGCAACCGUUCUUACUUGAUGAUAUGAAUGCUUCAUUGGAGCAAUAUUGGCCUUUGUUUGCACAUUAGUGUUCCAUUAUGUAGUAAAAGAUGUGGUCUGGUAGCCUUUCUUCAUUGUUACAGUUAUUGUCAAAUGGUGGAAUAUUGGUGCCUGGUAGCUCUGGUUCAUGUAAGCAUGACGAAACAUCGUAAAAUCAUAUUUCUUGUUGUAUCAUGAGUCAUAUGAAAAAGAAGGUUAGGCGAUUUAUGUUUUUAGUUUUUCUAUUGCUCGUGUGUUAAAGAUCUAGGCAUACAUUUCAGAUAUAAAUUUGGGCAUAAAUUGUCACAAAUAGAUGGGUGGCGUGGGUCAAGGUUCAGAAACCCAGGGCAUCAUGUUUCUUUCGAGCCAUAUGAGGAGAACUACAUCCAUGGUAGUGGCUACAAUAUAAUCAGAGAGCCAUGUACAUGUUGAUUGUUAUGAAAUCAUGGGAUGGAAUCUUGAUCUCCGGUGUCCAGAAAUCUAUUUUCUCAGAGAAAAAAUCGAUGCGAGUUUAUAUUGCUGAUGUUUCGUCACGCACCUUAAUUUCUUCUUCGGAUUAUGAAAUAUUUAGGUUAACAAGAUGCCAUGUAAGUUGGGUUGAGAUCUGCUAUACAGUGACUUUCUUUUGUUCAAAUAUUUCAUUUUUUUCAUUUUCAUGCUGUCGAAGUAUUUGUACUUGUGAUUUCCUGAAGUUUUGUGAAAUAUUGAAGGAUAUCUUGGAACGACAAAGUUCCCAGUCUUCAUGCUAGGUGAUAGGACACUGGCUGCUGAAGUUGCUCAUUGCCUCGCAUAAAAGAAUGGAAUCUCCUUAUUUUUUGCUAUGUUUUGCACAUGUUGAUUAUGAUGGCAUUGUUUUGAACAUUCUAUCCCAUGUUGAUAAAAAGUAGAUGCUUUGGUAUGCCCUCUUUGUUCUAGCUUGGUUGGUUGACUGGUUGUUGUUCUAGGUGUUGUUGAGAUGACCUAAGCUAACAACAAUUUGAGCUUGCCUCCAUGGUGUUUGAUUAUAUUUAGG
rnacentral:rRNA from 1 species